rnacentral:piRNA from 1 species
UGGAACUCCCCUCACAGGAAUAGCCGAC